rnacentral:ncRNA from 1 species
AAAACGGCUCUUUUAAGAGCCACCAAAUCUGUGGAAGAAUAUGAG